rnacentral:rRNA from 1 species
ACUCCUGCGGGAGGCAGCAGUGGGGAAUUUUGGACAAUGGGCGAAAGCCUGAUCCAGCAAUGCCGCGUGAGUGAAGAAGGCCUUCGGGUUGUAAAGCUCUUUUGUCAGGGAAGAAACGGUGAGAGCUAAUAUCUUUUGCUAAUGACGGUACCUGAAGAAUAAGCACCGGCUAACUACGUGCCAGCAGCCGCGGUAAUACGUAGGGUGCAAGCGUUAAUCGGAAUUACUGGGCGUAAAGCGUGCGCAGGCGGUUUUGUAAGUCUGAUGUGAAAUCCCCGGGCUCAACCUGGGAAUUGCAUUGGAGACUGCAAGGCUAGAAUCUGGCAGAGGGGGGUAGAAUUCCACGUGUAGCAGUGAAAUGCGUAGAUAUGUGGAGGAACACCGAUGGCGAAGGCAGCCCCCUGGGUCAAGAUUGACGCUCAUGCACGAAAGCGUGGGGAGCAAACAGGAUUAGAAACCCGUGUAGUCCC